GAUUACCUUGAGCGGGGUAUUAGAGAAUCAAUGCGUGCGGGAAACAAGUUCUUAUUAGCCCCUUGUUUUGAGGAUCUACAUUGGAGCCUUAUGGUGAUUUGUGUUUCCAAUAACACAAUCUACUACUUUGACUCGGCUCGUAUAUGGCCAACAAGGAAGUUGCUAGUGAAUAACCUAUUAAAUAGGUACAUACCGCUUCCUAUAUAUUGUUUUGUUUCAUCACCUAAGUAAUUGAGUGGCUAUGUUCCUAAAUCAUUUGUUUUUUAUUUUUUUAAAGUGUUAUGAAGAAGUUGAAUUGUCGUUCAGUUGCGGGUCCCACGUGGAAAUAUGCGAAGUGUGCGCAACAAGACAACGGCGUUGACUGUGCCCUCUACGUGAUGAGGUUUAUGCAUGACAUAGUCAAUAGGUGAACUGAAG